rnacentral:rRNA from 1 species
ACGCACGCUGGCGGCGUGCUUAACCCCUGCCAGUCGCACGGAAAGGCCCUGCUUUUGUGGGGUGCUCGAGCGGCGAACGGGUGAGUAACACGUGAGUAACCUGCCCUUGACUUUGGGAUAACUUCAGGAAACUGGGGCUAAUACCGGAUAGGAGCUCCUGCUGCAUGGUGGGGGUUGGAAAGUUUCGGCGGUUGGGGAUGGACUCGCGGCUUAUCAGCUUGUUGGUGGGGUAGUGGCUUACCAAGGCUUUGACGGGUAGCCGGCCUGAGAGGGUGACCGGCCACAUUGGGACUGAGAUACGGCCCAGACUCCUACGGGAGGCAGCAGUGGGGAAUAUUGCACAAUGGGCGGAAGCCUGAUGCAGCAACGCCGCGUGCGGGAUGACGGCCUUCGGGUUGUAAACCGCUUUCGCCUGUGACGAAGCGUGAGUGACGGUAAUGGGUAAAGAAGCACCGGCUAACUACGUG